UACAGAGGGGGCAAGCGUUAUUCGGAAUUAUUGGGCGUAAAGGGCGCGUAGGCGGCUUGGCAAGUGGAUGGUGAAAUCCCUCGGCUUAACCGAGGAACUGCCGUCCAAACUGCUUCGCUUGAGACCGGGAGAGGUGAGUGGAAUUCCCAGUGUAGCGGUGAAAUGCGUAGAUAUUGGGAGGAACACCAGUGGCGAAGGCGGCUCACUGGACCGGUACUGACGCUGAGGCACGAAAGCGUGGGGAGCAAACAGG
rnacentral:rRNA from 1 species